rnacentral:lncRNA from 1 species
AAAAGUAUCCUCGGCAGGAUUGAAAGACUGUGUUACUGAAGAGCCUUCUUGCUGUGAUCAGUGAAGGAUGGUGCAGGUGUCUGUCGUUUCACUGACCAGGAAUCUGUGCUUUUUCCUACACCUGUUGGUGGCUUCAUGCUCCUGACAGUACGAAUUGGCAGCACGUGUAUUGGAAUGAACUUCGUUCCCUGGGCGCGUGGUACAUGGUGAAACCGGAGGAACAAGCUGAAGGGCAAGAAAGUUGACAUGCUUUGCGUUCUUCACCACAGUGCUUUGCCGACACAUCAUCAUAAAGUCAAAGUGUUCAUUUGUAGCGGAAAGGAAGGCUUUACAUGUGGUGGAA